AAAAAGUUUUAUUGUGGCUUUAAAAAUUCGGUUUAUGGUGAAUACACAUACGCCGAUUAGGCUAGAGGAAAUUGGGAAAUUUAUUGUAGUGAUUAAAUUUAAUGAUUAAGGGGACUUAGAAUUAGAUAUUCAUAAGGAUACAAACAAAUCUUGUGCCAGCAGUUGCGGUUAAACAUGAUGUAUCACUGAGUUUGGUUCGGGAAAUGGUUAUCUUCACAAGUGUUUGUGAUUGCUAGUUGUAUAAGGUGAAAUUUUGCGAUUGGUAGAAUUUUGAAUUGUAGAGAGAGACUAUUAGAUUUUAGUACUAGACUAGGAUUAGAUACCCUAUUAUUAAAAAUGUAAAUUUACAUUCCUGAGAAGUAUUAGUAUAUUCUUUAAAUUUAAAAAAUUUGGCGGUGUCUUAGUCUAUUUAGAGGAACCUGUCCUGUAAUUGAUAAUCCACGAUUAAUUUAACUUAUUCUUUAAGUUUGUAUAUCGUCGUUAUUUGAAUAUCUUUGGAGGGAAAAAUGUUCAGUAUUUAUAAUUUUAUAAUAAAUCAGAUCAAGGUGCAGUUGAUGGAUAAGGAGAGAUGGGUUACAAUGAAUAUAUUUAUAUGGUUUGAAGAAUGAAAUUUUUUCAAUAAAUAGGAUUUGAUAGUAAAGUAAAUGAUUUAAUUUAUUUGAUUUUAGCUCUAGGAUAUGCACAUAUCGCCCGUCACUCCCACCACAAGGUGGGAUAAGUCGUAACAUAGUAGGUGUACCGGAAGGUGUACCUAGAAAGG
rnacentral:ncRNA from 1 species